rnacentral:rRNA from 1 species
UACAGAGGUCUCAAGCGUUGUUCGGAUUCAUUGGGCGUAAAGGGUGCGUAGGCGGCGCGGUAAGUCGGGUGUGAAAUCUCCACGCUCAACGUGGAGGGGCCAUUCGAAACUGCCGUGACUCGAGUCCGGUAGGGGAGUGCGGAAUUCCCGGUGUAGCGGUGAAAUGCGCAGAUAUCAGGAGGAACACCGGUGGCGAAGGCGGUUCUCUGGGCAUUACCUGACCGUGGAGGAGC